rnacentral:rRNA from 1 species
UUGACAUCCCGGGAAUUUCCUGGAAACAGGAGAGUGCUUUCAUUAGAGAGAACCUGGAGACAGGUGCUGCAUGGCUGUCGUCAGCUCGUGUCGUGAGAUGUUGGGUUAAGUCCCGCAACGAGCGCAACCCUUGCCUUUAGUUGCCAGCAGUUCGGCUGGGCACUCUAAAGGGACUGCCGGUGUCAAACCGGAGGAAGGUGGGGAUGACGUCAAGUCCUCAUGGCCUUUAUGGCCAGGGCUACACACGUACUACAAUGGCCGGUACAAAGGGCAGCGACAUUGCGAGAUGGAGCGAAUCCCGAAAAGCCGGUCUCAGUCCGGAUUGGAGUCUGCAACUCGACUCCAUGAAGUUGGAAUCGCUAGUAAUCGUGGAUCAGCAUGCCACGGUGAAUACGUUCCCGGGCCUU